rnacentral:rRNA from 1 species
UACGGAGGGUGCAAGCGUUAUCCGGAUUCACUGGGUUUAAAGGGAGCGUAGGUGGGUUGGUAAGUCAGUGGUGAAAUCCCCGGAGCUUAACUUGGGAACUGCCAUUGAUACUAUCAGUCUUGAAUACUGUGGAGGCUAGCGGAAUAUGUCAUGUAGCGGUGAAAAUGCUUAGAUAUGACAUAGAACACCAAUUGCGAAGGCAGCUGGCUACACAAUUAUUGACACUGAGGCUCGAAAGCGUGGGGAUCAAACAGGA